GGCAUGGUGGGGUGGGGGCUGAACAGAGGAACGGCAGGGGUGUAGGGUGUCUCGAGCCCAGUGUGAACAGCUGAGAGGUGUGAUUUCACAGGCUGGCUCCCCCCUGUCAGGGCCCUGAUUGGGUCGGACAGGAGGCGCAGGAGAGGCCCGGGCUUCUAAAGGACACCAACAGGUGGGAGGCCGCUGUGGAGGGGGGUGCUCCUGGCGGGAUAGAAAAGGCCGAUCUGCAAGGCCUGUUGUGGGCACAAUCCACUGGCCAGAUACGGAGGAGGAUGGUUGAUCGCAGGAGAGCUGAGGUGAAGAGAGGAGAGGAGCAGGGUGGAUCUCAGGAAGUGGAGGGAUAGUUUGAGAUGAGUUUGGGCUUUGAUGGGAGGGAAGGGCAGCUCCAGGGACAAGGAGUAAGGUUGGUCUGUGUGUUUUUGUUCCGUGAGAACAGAAAGUCAUUUUGGUCAUAGUUUUUUUUUUUUUCCAUUUAAACUUUUUACAACAAACUGUUGUAUAGUGUGUUUUUUGUGGAUAAAGUCUCUGUGACAAGGUUUUCUGUAGAUUCAGCUUUAGCAGGAUUUAAGUCCCUGUACUUCCUUUAAAUUCAGCUUCCUUGAUUUGCAGCACUGUGUGAGCAAAAUCAGGUGUCAAACUAGUUGUUAGAUGUUUUUUCUCUGAGUUUUUACGACAGCACAACACGCUCUGGACGAGUCCGACACCUCUGUCAGGUGAGGGGAAGCUGAGGUGUGAUACAGGAAAGAAUCAGGGAAUUUGGGGGGCGGGGGGAAGGGGCAUCCUAAUGGCCAUUUGGUUUGACACAACAGCAGUCAGAUUUAUCAAAGGAGUCACCACUAGAUAGACAGUAAAUGUGUAGGAGAGGCUGCCUGAACCCACUGUGGCCUCCAGCUCUACUCCAGCUACUCACCACGAGAAAACCAAGGAGAGGAGACUCAACAGAGAUCAAGGAAGGUAAGGCUGAAGAGGACACGUUGCCCUGACUGCCUGCAGAUGACACCCACCUUCUAUUCCUUCUCUUUUCUCCUCUCUCAUUUCCUUCUUUUUCUGUGCCCUCUACCCUCGUACCCUUCCCUCUGUCCCCCCCUCUCCUCGCUGCAUGCGUCCUCCUGCUCUCUCUUUGCUCUGCCUCUUGCAGCUGAAGCAACACACCUUGCUGUGGCUGGUCAAACGGAACCAAGUCAGGUGUUUCUGUGAGGUUUGGUCCCCUUCAACCAGCUACUGCGUCGUGAAUUCAGUCAGCAGACACCAGCGUGGAAUCAAAGGCACAGAGGGGUUGGGGUGUAAUGCUGCACACUCUGGAGGUGGUAGUCGACAGUUGAUUGUGUCUUUUCUUUGGCGGUUUGGUCUCGACUGUCUCCUGUGUGGCACUGUGUGUUUGAAAAAGCAAAUAAAAGAUUAUUGACAACA